AGGAUAGAGGCCUACCAUGGUGGUAACGGGUAACGGGGUGUUAGGGCACGACACCGGAGAGGGAGCCUGAGAAACGGCUACCACAUCCAAGGAUGGCAGCAGGCGCGCAAAUUACCCAAUCCCGACACGGGGAGGUAGUGACAAUAAAUAACAAUACGGGGUUCUUUAGGAUCUCGUAAUUGGAAUGAGUACAAUUUAAAUCUCUUAACGAGGAACAAUUGGAGGGCAAGUCUGGUGCCAGCAGCCGCGGUAAUUCCAGCUCCAAUAGCGUAUAUUAAAGUUGUUGCAGUUAAAAAGCUCGUAGUCGAAUUUCGGGGUUAGUAGGUUGGUCAUGCCUCUGGUAUGUACUGGUCUCACUGAUUCCUCCUUCCUUAUGAACCGUAAUGCCAUUAAUUUGGUGUUGCGGGGAAUUUGGACUGUUACUUUGAAAAAAUUAGAGUGUUUAAAGCAAGCUAACGCUUGAAUACAUUAGCAUGGAAUAAUGAAAUAGGACGUUCGAUCUUAUUUUGUUGGUUUCUAGGAUUGACGUAAUGAUUAAUAGGGAUAGUUGGGGGCAUUAGUAUUCAAUUGUCAGAGGUGAAAUUCUUGGAUUUAUUGAAGACUAACUACUGCGAAAGCAUUUGCCAAGGAUGUUUUCAUUAAUCAAGAACGAAAGUUAGGGGAUCGAAGACGAUCAGAUACCGUCGUAGUCUUAACCAUAAACUAUGCCGACUAGGGAUCGGAUGA
rnacentral:rRNA from 1 species